CGCCCAACAGCUAGCCCCCCCCCCAUCAACCCCAAACCUACCCUAUUUAUAUCCCCAAAUAUACCAUCCUGCUGAUAACAAACCAUUUUCCCACCUAAGUACGGGCGACGAAAAAGGACCCAAGAGCGACAGAGAAAGUACCGCARGGGAAAGCUGAAAAAGUAAUGAAACAAUUCAGUAAAGCACUAAGAAAGCAGAGACAACCCCUCGUACCUUUUGCAUCAUGAUUUAGCCAGAAAACCUCAAGCAAAAAGCAUUAUAGUUUGAUACCCCGAAACUAAGCGAGCUACUCCAAGGCAGUCUAAUUUAUAGGACCACCCCGUCUCUGUGGCAAAAGAGUGGGAAGAACUUCGAGUAGAGGUGAUAGACCUACCGAGCCUAGUUAUAGCUGGUUGCCUGCGAACUGAGUAAAAGUUCAGCCCUUUAAGUUCUUCAUUCCAGUUGGUUUAAGACCUUCCCACCGAACAAAAGAAAUUAAAGGAGUUAGUCAAAGGGGGUACAGCCCCUUUGAAACAAAACACAACUUUCCAAGGAGGGUAAAAAUCAUAACAACUCAAAGGUUAAAUGUUCUAGUGGGCCUAAAAGCAGCCACCUAUUCAGAAAGCGUUAAAGCUCGAACAUUACCUAAUCAGCCUUCUAAUAAGGAUAUUACAAUUUCACCCCCCUAAACCUAUCAGGCCGUUCCAUAAUACUAUGGAAGUGUUUAUGCUAAUAUGAGUAAUAAGAGAAAAUACCUCUCCCCGCACAAGUGUAAUUCGGAACGAACCCUUCACCGACCAUUAACGGCCCCAAAACAAAGAGGGCCCUAGGCAAAAAACAAACAACUAGAAAAACCCCUAGCUUCUCACCGUUAACCCCACACUGGUGUGCAGACCGGGAAAGACUAAAAGAAAAAGAAGGAACUCGGCAAACACAAGCCUCGCCUGUUUACCAAAAACAUCGCCUCUUGAGCCCUAAAUAUAAGAGGUCCCGCCUGCCCUGUGACUAUAAGUUUAACGGCCGCGGUAUUUUGACCGUGCAAAGGUAGCGCAAUCACUUGUCUUUUAAAUGAAGACCUGUAUGAAUGGCAUAACGAGGGCUUGACUGUCUCCUUUUUCCAGUCAAUAAAAUUGAUCCCCCCGUGCAGAAGCGGGGAUGCUAACAUAAGACGAGAAGACCCUAUGGAGCUUUAGACACCAGAACAGACCAUGUUAAACACCCCUUAAAUAAAGGCUAAAACUAAUUGGCCCCUGUUCUAAUGUCUUUGGUUGGGGCGACCGCGGGGAAACAAAAAACCCCCAUGUGGACCGGGGACACGCCACCCCUACAACCCAGAGUUACGACUCCAAGUAACAGAACUUCUGACCAAUCAGAUCCGGCACAUAGCCGAUCAACGGACCGAGUUACCCUAGGGAUAACAGCGCAAUCCUCUUUUAGAGCCCAUAUCGACAAGAGGGUUUACGACCUCGAUGUUGGAUCAGGACAUCCUAAUGGUGCAGCCGCUAUUAAGGGUUCGUUUGUUCAACGAUUAAAGUCCUACGUGAUCUGAGUUCAGACCGGAGUAAUCCAGGUCAGUUUCUAUCUAUGUCACGAUCUUUUCCAGUACGAAAGGACCGAAAAGAAGAGGCCCCUGUUCCCAAUAUGCCUCCCCCUUAUCUAUUGAAACCAACUAAAAUAGAUAAAAGGGCGUGCCCCCUAGCCAUAGAAAAUGGCUU
ensembl:Mt_rRNA